rnacentral:ncRNA from 1 species
GUUCUCAUAAAGGGGUGCUUUUAUAAAUAUACUAUUUAGACAAGGCUGAGAUCAUACCCAAUGAACCUGGGCAAGUAAUGCUGCCAAGGGAAUGUAAACGUUUAUAAA